UAUUUCCUUUUGAUAGUAAUUUGAGCAAUGGUAGACAAACUAUCAAUCUUAUACUUGACAAACUACUUUCAGUAAUGGAAAAUUUAUGUCAAUAUUUAAGAAACAACUUCAACUUCCUUUGCAUCGGAGAAAAAGUUUUUCAAAAAUACAGAUUUCAUCAAAUACAUCGAGAAGUAUGUAAAAAGUAUAAAAGGAAAUAGGUUAGGUAUAAGUUAAAAAAUACAAAACGUACACUACUUACUAGACAAAAGAAGAAUGGCUUUUGAAAAUAAAAAUUCUAUUCAUAAAAAAAAAUUAUUUUAUCGCAAGAAAAUAUAUUUUUAUUUUCAUAAUUGCAAUCAAAUAAUGAAUAUAUUAUGCAUAUCGAUUUCAAAUUCAUUAUUCUUGAAUGAAACAUACCGAUCUGCUGACAGUUGUGCAACUAGAUUGCAUAAAAUUCAACGAUACUGUGAAAUAUGAUACAUAAAAUGAAAGAAACUAUAUGCCAAUCAUAUUUUAUUUUGAAUUCUAUCAAUUAAGAGA